ACGAUCCCUAGCUGGUUUGAGAGGAUGAUCAGCCCCACUGGAACUGAGACACGGUCCAGACUCCUACCGGGAGGCAGCAGUGGGGAAUUUUGGACAAUGGGGGCAACCCUGAUCCAGCCAUGCCGCGUGAGUGAAGAAGGCCUUCGGGUUGUAAAGCUCUUUCGGCCGSUAAGAAACUCGCAUAGSUUAAUCCCCKSUCGUUCAUAGCUCGGCUAUCGCUGUAAGAACGAASCGCCRGCGUUCAAUGUGACCCAUGAUCAAACUCU
rnacentral:rRNA from 1 species